GCGGCAUUCCUGUUCACAUCCCAGUUCUUCCCUUGGAGUCUGCGAUGUUUGUGAGGAACUCCUUCCAGAAAUUUGUGGUGUGCCAUUUGAAAUUACGCAGCGGUGGCUGAAUUUCAACCGAAGAUGUUCUUUGGGUUUGGCCUUGACCGAGGAAAUCUGUGUCCCACCUUAUCUCUGUUGGAAUACUUCCCAUCCUAGAGCUUCAUUGUGCACCUCAAUACUUAAAAAAGCUAGGAAGGUUGAUCGGCUAUUUUGCAGUAAUGUCAAGUCGGAAGAAUUGGAUAUUCCUCCUUUUAGCUUCGUGUUUACGCGUCUUCUAUAUGCCAGAAAAGGGUGAACUUCCUUUGCGCUUGUAAGUAAAGAUGAGGGAAGAAGUUUGUUUACGUUUUACUGA